GCGAGUGAAGCGGCAACAGCUCAAAUUUGAAAGCUGGCUUAGGCCCGCAUUGUAAUUUGCAGAGGAUGCUUCUGGCGAGGUGCCUUCCGAGUUCCCUGGAACGGGACGCCAUAGAGGGUGAGAGCCCCGUAUGGAUGGACACCAAACCUGUGUGAAGCUCCUUCAACGAGUCGAGUAGUUUGGGAAUGCUGCUCUAAAUGGGAGGUAAAUCUCUUCUAAAGCUAAAUACCGGCCAGAGACCGAUAGCGCACAAGUAGAGUGAUCGAAAGAUGAAAAGCACCUUGAAAAGGGGGUUAAACAGUACGUGAAAUUGUUGAAAGGGAAGCGCUUGUGACCAGACUUGCGCCGGGCAGCUCAUCAGGGGUUCUCCCCUGUGCACUCUGCCCGGCUCAGGCCAGCAUCGGUUCUCGUGGGAGGAUAAGAACGGUAGGAACGUGGCCCCCCUCCGGGGGGGUGUUAUAGCCUGCCGUACGAUACUCCCGUGGGGACCGAGGUUCGCGCUCCGCAAGGAUGCUGG
rnacentral:rRNA from 1 species